rnacentral:lncRNA from 1 species
UAUGAGAGUUAAAUACGUUUACAUUUUAUUUUCUAGCAUAGCUCUCACAAUGGCAACAGUUCAUCUCCUAAUCCAGAUGGCAGAUAGGUUCAGAUGGUGAUAGCAGAACAACUUGGUUUUCUCUUGAUUAUUGGACUGCAGGGUGUUUGUCCACAACUUGGUUUUCUUUUGAUUAUUGGACUGCAGGGUGUUUGUCCAAACUCCAGAGGUUAAUGUGACCUGACCCUGAAAGUCAGUGAAAGGACUUCCAUUGACUUUGACAGGAUUUGACUCAACAAGGUCUAAUAUUUCUGCCAGGGAAUAUGCUGUGCAAGCAAUCAGGUAGGCAUAAAACUAUGGGUUUAUACUUAUUGAUCUUGAGUCCUGAGAUACUGGAAGGCCGGUAAUCAAUACAAGGCUAUGCGCCGGUCACAUAAUAUUUUUCCAAUAUCUUCCAACAUUCAUCUGAUUAAUUUUGUCACAGGUGUAGCCUUGGCUCAUUUAUUAAAAGUGUACUCAAAGCUGAUGUAAAUUAGCAUGAUAACAAAGAGAGUGGCUGCCUGAGCGAAGGCAAAAUUGUACAACAAACGCAGGCAGUUUAUAGAUGUCUGAAAAAAUGUACAUGGCUAAUGUAUACAGCAGCCCCUAAACUACAAGGGACAAACUACAAGGGACAAACCAAUCUGAUAAAUAGUUCCACUAAAACCAAUAGGACUUAUCUAUGCAUUCUAGGUUGUCCCUUUGCAAGUUUGCCAGAAAUGAUUUCUACUGUAUCCAGUGGGAAUUAAGUACCAUGCAUAGUUAGAUGUGUCUAAGCAGUGCUCAAAGUAUAGGGGGCCAAGGAGGCCAAGGGGGCCAAGGGGGGCAUGUUAUUUUAUUCAUUAGAUUUUUAUAUUGCCAUUUAUCACAAUAUCUCAGGGUGGUUCGUAGGAUAAAAUACAAAGUAAAAAGACAAGUAAAUAGUUGAAAUGAAAACAACAAUACAAUAGAUAGUUAGCUAGUUUUUUUAGAAAGCUAGAGACCAUGAUUUGGCUAAAACUAGAGGGAGCCACAAAUUGGAAUUUAUGGAUUGCAUAAAGGAUCACCCUAUUCCCACUAUCCACAAAUACUCCCCCCCUCUCUCUCUCACACACACAUACACAUAAUUGAAAAAUGGUUGGGGAAAUAUCACAGUGGAUACCCUGAAAGCACUUCUCAGCAAAAGAAACUGAUCUGUAGAAAAUUUAACUUGAAAAAAGAGACAUUGCACAUACCUUUGUAAACCAAGAAAUUUUAAUUAAUAAAUACAUUUAAAAAGGUGUCCUAGGCUUGAUGCAGACAUUGGAUUUUGCAGCAUUAAAACAUAUCCCUUAAAAAAAGAAAAAGAAACUAUCCCUAACUUUAAUUAGGAAUGACAUACUAGCUGAACCUUAGCUUGCUAAGCAAAGUCAAACAGCCGCCACUGCAUUUUUGGCCAGGAAUCAGGUGCUCAUUGCCUGCGCCUGAUGCCCAGACAUAGCUGCUUGGCUACUUACCCUCAUGUCCAUCUGUUGAAAUGGCAAGGCGCCUUCACAGAAGUCACUUGGACUCAUGCCUUCAGGGCAGAGAAACCAGUCAUUGACAGACAGCCUGUGUUACAAUGCCUACAUCAUAUCUUCUGGAGGUGCAUUUCCUUUGAGCCUUUCCUAUAGAUCUGUUAAUUGCAGACAUCCUAAGGCCUUGUUACAGCUGAUGGGAAUGGCGAGCCAAGGGAGGAAAAUACAUGAACUGUGCAGGAGGGUAUUUCUGAGUUGCCAGUGAGACAGGUUGCGUUUGCAAUAGGUGCAGGAAAACUCGGCUGUACUACCUGGAGUGGCAAAAUAAAAAUAUGCAAUGUACAACCAUGGCCUUUUGGUUUGUCAGGAAGAAAAUGAGACAGAAAGAGCACAUUUACAAAACGGGUAGAAUAAUAGACCAGCACUGUGUACUACAUUUCCUUGCCCCAUGAUGCAUGAAAUUUACAUGAAAAUAGUGAAUCUGUGUAGAAAAACUAAAUGACUCAGGUCUCCAGUACCUGAAUUACUGCCUUGUUACCUACAGGUACCGUGUCAGGUGCCAUCUCAAUCUGCAGAGGGUGCCCUCUUAGUUUUUCCUUUGCCCUCAGAGGCUCAGGGUGAUGGCAGCCCAGGAAAGGGCAUUCUCUGCAACAACCAGCAUUCUUGACCUUGUCUUGUCUGCAGACCCUAGAAGAACAAUGGGUAAUGGGAUACAAAAUGGCAAAGCGUGUUCUCCUUCAUGGAGAGCACGUGUUGCGGUGGGGUCUGACAGGACACUCCAAAGUUGUGGGGCGGGCUAAUUGAUCAUUGGCCACUGAUGUGAUUGGGCUUCCCUUGUUGUUGGGAAGAAGUUAAUGUUGCCAUUUGUUGACUGACAGCUAGAAAUGCUAAAACUCCCUGCACGAGGCUAGAGCUUCCUCUUUUUGCCCCGUGGAUCGGAUUGCCCAUCGCCCCCCCCCCAUAUUUAGGGUUGUCCGCUUUGACCUUGCUAUGCCUGUCAUGGGGUCGUCUCCUCUUGGGGCAGGGGCCUGUUAGGAAUUUUGUCCAUCUGGCUGAUUGGCUGGGGCCAUCUGGUUUUUGCCUACUGCGUAGCAAAUCGUCACAACUUGUAAGGUUGCCGUUAGGCAUUGGUUUAUGGUUUGGUUGGUUGAAGGGCAUGGAUUGGCUGUGCCUGCACCUCUAAUGCUGCUGCUGCAAGGGAUUCCGUUACAGGAAUUCAGGGGCUCACUAUUGCUUUUAUCCACCCUGUCAAGGGGCUCGGGCCACUGCAAGAGCUCCUGGCUGCAUUUGGGGAGGGCUGAGGGCAGGUUCCCUGCUCCGUCGCUACCCCCAAGUGUAUUCCCCUUUUCUGACUUUCGCAGGCAUGCGGAAUGUCAGUCUGUCCCCCAUAGGGCGGCAGAUAUUCGCAACCAAUGCCUAAGCAACCACUCACAUUUUUGUAUUUUAAUAAAGUUGUGGCCUAAAUUAUGCAAAAAACCUUAAACAAAAUUUCUGUGUGAUGUGUGAGUUAUUGGGGUGGCCCUGGGGACCUCGACAUGCAAAGGGUGUUUUGUUUUUUGUUUUUGGAUCUAUGCCAGGGCAUUGGAGCACAUUUGGUAAAUGGGCUCUCUACCUUGCACUGUGUCUUCACAAGGAAUAGGGAUGAAGAGAAAAGUAGUGAAGCUCCCAAGGAAUACCAGAAAUCCCACAUGUCUCCAAUUUCUCUCUCCAUUUUUAUUACAGUAAGAAGUGGCUUGCCUUGAUUCAGAUCACCACGGGAGCACUGGCAGGCCACGUGCAUGUUUGCAGAGAAACAGUGCUUAAGGAUCUACGAUUAGGACAAUUGCAUAGUGGUUUCCCAGGGAAGUUCGCCUGCUGACUUCAUUAUACACCUUUAGGCGCCAGACAAAACCGUUCCUUUUUAACCAGGCCUUUGGUUGACUAGAUCAACAUCCUAUACCAUUUCAAAAUGUGGCUUUUGGGGGGUGUUAUUGGGUUAUUGUUUUUAUUUUGAUUUUAUAUACUGUGAUCUUUUCUGUGAACUGCCCUGAGACCUCUGGGUAUAGGGCGGUAUAUAAAUUCAAUAAAUAAAAUAAAAUAAUAAAAAAAAAUCUGCGUGCAGCAAUGGAUGAGCUGCUGGGUAUAUUCUGUGUCUCUUCUUCAGCAUUUACCACACUUGGCUGCAUAUGCUUUGGAGCACAUAUAGAUUGCAUUUGCUGACUCCGGUCAGCUAAGUUAUUGGAUCAGAGUAUGAGCUCAGUUUGUUUUAGAUUUUGAGAUGUAAACAUUUGCAUGACAGCUAUUCAUUAUGGUCAGGGUUUUCUUUUUUGCCUAGGAUCAAUAGAAUGUGCUGGGUUUUUUUAAUUAUCUCCUUGUAUUCUCAAAGGAUGUUCUAUACCCUGUAGUGGCUGUUAUAUUUUUACUUAUAUGGUCUUUUCACAAGGGCAGAACCAGUGUAAAUGCAUUUUAAAGUACAAUAUAGAAAAGAACUAAAAGCGUUUGUUUGCCUCUGUCUAUGACAAUGGUCUCAGGAAGAAAAUUUUGCCCCACACCCAGAAUUUAUUUUGUGGAGUAAAGGGAACAGCCAAAACGUACCAUGAACAUCUGGUAAGUAAUUAUGCGGAGCAAAAGUGGUGUAAUAAAAUAAGCAGAAGGGUCACUGCUGCCCUUCAAGUCACUUCUAAAAAUGACUAUCUUUUAUGCAGUAUAGUAUGCAGAAUUUAAGAGCAAGAAUUAAGCUCUGCAUACUGAUCCCAAGAAACCUCAGAAAAGUCUUCAUUUCAACUAGAGUUUGUUCUGUGAUGACCUCUGCUACCAUUUGACUACGUAAAAUUACCUCGUAUUAGAAAAGGAAGUCAAGUUCAUCCACUCUCAGAUGGCCUUUGAAUUUUUAUCUCUUAGGCCUUGAUCUCUGUUAUUGGGACUGAAGCCAUUAUCAGGCGUGGUUGACUCCAGAGGCCAGACAAAGUUCUCAGCUCAGGUUGUUGCCUCCAGAAUUUCUCUUCCAUUCAUCACAGCCCAAAGUGGACUCUGCCUAUGUACACAUUACCCUUUACUCCAGCUCCAUUGCUUUCCCCUUGCUGGAGUACACAAGGUGUUAGCCACAAUCCUUUCAAAUCCUGUACCUUGGUUUUCGAACAGCUUAGUUCCUGAACGUUUUGGCCGCCGAAUGUCGCAACCCCGGAAGUGACUGUUCUGGUUUGCAAACUAUUUUUGGAAGCCGAACGUUCGACUGGAGCUUCCUGCAGCCAAUCAGAAGCUGCGAUUUGGUUUUUGAAUGUUUUGGAAGUCAAAAGGACUUGUGGAACGGAUUCCAUUUGACUUCCACAGUACAACUGUAGUUUCUUGAGAAAUACUGCUGCUAGAUGGGUUUCCCCUCAAACCAGCUCCCAUCCAAUUUGAAAAAGUAGGUAUUAAAUUGAUGUGCAUACAUUUAGACGUCUGUUAUCUAUGAGUACAUGCAGCAGGGGAUAUGACCUCAUUGCAUUUUUAGCCACUAAUGUGAACAUAUCCUCUCUGACACCACUCAACUCUCUCUUUUGACCAUUCUGCUUGUUGUGAAUGUAUUUCUAUGUCAGGAACAGUGAUUCUAAAUGAUGUUUGGGAUGGUGAAAAUAGAAUACAACAGUGGUAGUUGCUCCAUAUCAAUUAACAAACGUAGGAACCUGCCUUAUCAGCACUUUGGUCCAUCCCAGUACUGAUUGGCAGCUGCUCCCCAGGGUCUCUGACAGAGAUCUCUCCCAAUCCUACUACCCCAAAUGCUUUUAACUAGAAACAAAUUAACCAGAUUGAAUUUGGGGGUCUCCUGAUGAAAGGCACAUUACUUGUGUUGAAUUGUAGCACUUCUAUAAUUUUCAUGUGUCUAAUCCCAGAUGUCCUACUAAUAUCAGAAAGAUGCAACUGAUAUUGAUUAGCUUGCAAAUGAUUUGGGUUGUGAAUGCUGAUGUGCUUAAGUUGAGCACAAACUGAUUGUAAUAUCAGCUCACUGACUUUGCAAUAGAAAAAGCCACAGUGAAUCCUGAAUUCUUGCACCUAAAACUAGUCAUAAAACCAAAACACAAACUUUACAUUUUUCACUGUUGUUUUUUUCUGUUACCUGAGGGACGGGGGCACCAAAUCUCCUAUCCCAGAAGCUCAGUUCCAGUUCUGAAUACCAAGUCUCAGGAAGGAAGAAAUAAGAAAAAAAGGUGAUUUGAGCACACAGAUAAAAAUAAUAUUCAAAGACCAUGGUUUUCUAGGUGUGGUUUGGGUUUUCAUGAGUUACCUGUAAAAACAUAAUAAAACAUCAAACAUUUAAAACUUCCAUGAACAGGACUGUUUGGAUGUAUCAUUUACUGUUUAUUUGUUUAAAAGUUCCUCAAGUAAACUUUUGAACAUAACCUAUGGGCCUUGGGCAUGUUUUUAUUCAAAAAGGACUCAGUUUUUAUGCAUCCAGUCACUUCAAACUCCACAAUAUUAAUAUCUGCAGUGAGCCCCACAUAGAGUGCAUUGCAGUAGCCCAAGCGGGAGAUAAACAGAGCAUGUACCACUUUGGCGAGACAGUGCACAGGAAGGAAUCCCAUGAUUCCUGACCAUUGGCCAUGCUUGCUGGGGCUGAUGGGAGUUUGAGUCCAAGAACAUCUGGAAGUCGCAGAUGCCCACCCCCAGCCUAGUGCAUUUGAUUGUGUGAAAAUUUGGAAAUAAAGAAUUAACAAUUAGCCUCCAGGCAGUCUUGAGUCCCCAGCACCUCUUUCCUUUUUUUCUUUUGCGAACUAUUCACUGCUGAACCAUAACAUCGAGGUAUUCCAAACAAUAAGUUUCUGGCAUGUAAUGUACUAACUGGAUAUUUAUUAAAGUUCUGCUUCUGAAUGUGUUUAGGUUAAAGAAGCAAUGGAAUGGCUUUUAAAAGAAAAAAGAAAAAUACCCUCCUCACUCCUGCCGAGUAAUCUUGAGUUCUCAAACCCUGCUGAUGUUAUGCUUCUUUCCUUCAGACAUUUUUUAAUUCCAGUUUUACUGUACAAAACUCUGAGGCAUUAAUUCUCCAGCUAAUCUUUCUCCUUAGAAAAUUCCCUGCCAUUAAAAAGAAUAGCUAAUCACCAUAAACACUGCUUAGACUCUCUAAUGUUUUCCAGACUCUUUCAAUAAUUAAUGAGUUUGCAUUAACACUUUUAAAAAAUAUACGAUAUCAGAGCAAUUUGUUUGGCUGAAGAUCUGAACUUCAAAGAGUCUGUCAGUCUUAUUAUUCACUAGGGACCAAAGCACACAUUGGCCCAGUUGCUACAGCUGCCCCAAUCUCCUUGGAGAAAGGGUGAGAUUCAUGUAAUAAAUAAAAUACCAAUAUUUUUGCAUGUCAUCGCUCAGCUCAUAUUGUAGCAGGUUGCAGAGGAGUUUAAAAUUGAUAUUUUCUAUGGGAAGCAAGUUAGAAGCCCUGUUUGCCACAAUAUGGCUGCAAAGAGAAGCAGGGAAAAGCAAUUGUCAUAAGCAGAAUGGCCUUGCACCCUUAGUUGGGCAAAGUGUUCCAGAAGUCAUCCUGAAUUGCUGAGGUGUGCAUAGUAGAAUCUCGAAAGGAAAAGGAAAUCUCCACGUGGGGUUGAGAGAGGGUUUGUUGACAUUCUCCUGAUAGAAAAAUCAAACUUGGGGUCGGAGGGUGGGAAGAGACGUUCAGCUUGAAUAUUGCAAUUCCAGGAAUUCAGGAACCUUCUGUGAAAAUUCUAGAUGCUAUUCUGACAUGCUUUCAAGGAGUCCACCACACUUUUUAAUAUUCUGCUGGGAGCUGCCCAGUAUGAAUAAAUUUGGUCAGUGUUCAGUCUGACUCAUUUUUUCUUUGUAUAAGAACAAGCACAAAGGAGGUUUCUCAGCCCAUUCACAGGUCCUUAUAAUAUCAGUGGGAACAGUUGGUCCUGGCAAAUAUUAACCGCUUUCAGUUUUAACCUGAGGAUUGUCAUUUGUCCAGUUUUAACUUUAACUUUAAUUUAUUUGAAUUAAUUUUGGGAUGCAUUUUAAUUGAUUGAUUGCUUGCUUUAGCCACUCUGAGCCUGGCUCUGGCCGGGGAGGGUGGGGUACAAAUAAAAAUUAUUUAUUAUUAGUAUUCACUCUGUAACCUGCUGUGAUUACAGCAUGGCAAUUUAUGUACAUUUGUUGCCACCUACAUUUUCACAGAGUUUUAACUCUUUCCUCUGAAACAAUCUCAGCUCAAGACAUAUUUCACCUCUUUCAUACCCUGGAUGUUCUGCACGCUGCCAUGUAGCGCACCUGUGAACAGAAACAGGUUGUGUGUGUUAGAUCCAGAACCUUGAAUUGAAACAAACCAUUCACGCAAAGGGGAGGGAAGUGCAACCAGAAUUAAAUGAAAUGCAAGUCAGCCGAUGGAUUCUAUAAAACAUGCUGCCCAGGUUAAGGAAACUGCAUAAAUUUUGUAUAUUGCCACCUAAUUAAUUGUACUUUUAUUCUGCUCAUUGCUCAGCUUUCUAUAAAUUGUAUGGAAAGCUUCUGCUCUAAAUUUUUGACCUUGGAUAUUUGAACAAAACUAGCUGGAUGUGUACCAAGGACAAUGUAUUUUCACUGAUUUUGGUAGCCCAGAAAAUUGAAUGUCCUGAUCACAUACGGACAGGGAUCCUCUUGUGGACAAUAGUGCUGAAAGACAAUAGUGCUGCCCCAGUUGAAGACAGAAAUGUUUCUGAAUACCAGUUGACGGAAACAUCUGGAGGGUAAAGUGCUCUUGUGCUCAGAUCCUGCAUGUGGGUUUCCCAGGCAUCUGAUUGGCCACUGUGAGAACAAGAGGCUGGAUGGGCCAUUGGCCAUAUCCAGCAGGCUCUUCUUAGGCGCAGAGUUAGGACAGAGCAAACACUUGUGACACAGUGUUGGGGGUGGGGAGCACAGGCACAUUCCUGAUACGGCAAGUGCUCUACAUAUAGGUAGUGUGUGAACAGAGCUAGGGUGACAAUAAAAUACGGUUUUCGAGCUUGAGGAAUCCUAGCGUCCAGCUUUGAAUAAACAAAGGUGCCUGAUUUUCAAGAGUGUUACAUACCACAAAAUCUGGCGUGGCUGAAAACCUGGCACUUAUAGGGAAAAAAGAAGGGAGGAAGUAGUAAUGUGAGUUGUCUCCUGACUUGGCAAAACACAGGUCAGCUGGCUGUUCAUAUAGGCUCUCUCUGAAGACUUUAGCACUGCAAUCAAUGCAGUAUUUUUCAUUUUUUACUUUCUGCUGACACAUAUUGGGAGAAGUGCGAUGCAGUCCAUGACAAGUAGGAAGCCUGUCUUUUCAAUCCACCCUCUGAGUGCAUUUUAUGGAACUCUUCCACCAUCACAGGGUGCUCUCAGCAAAUCAUUCUUUGACAGGAAGCACUAGAUAGUGAGAUACCAUCUUAGGUCUUCUGCCUUCUGUGAAUUCUUCCUUUUAGAAGGCCUUGGAGGUCAGAAUCCAUAGGAUUGUGGCUGUAAAGAGAAAUGGCAGAAGGCAUUAUUGCAACACCAGACUACCCUAUACGUCCUGUCAUGAUCUUCAUGGUCAUGAGAAAUUGAAAUGUUGUGUUUCUUUCAAAAUAGUAAGCGAGUUGUCACACAUGUGAAAUAGAAACAACACAGAGUUUUGUAGGUGCUGUAGAACCUUAAGCAUCUGACCUGAAUUCUGCCGAAACCACAACAAGCUUCUAGACCUAUAGAUGACAGCUUAAAACCAUUGAUAAAUAAAGUUGACCAUCUACCAAGUGAUAAUUAACUACCGUGUGCAUGUAACCACCUGGUAAGCCUUAUGGUACCGCCAUGUGGUCAGGAGAACAUUUGCUUAUGUUUCUGCACCUGUUCCGAAAUACAGGGGAGCAAAGGGAAUGUAAAAUUCUCAUCUGUAUUUGUCUGGAUGGUGCGGACAACUGGCUUACCAAGUGAUCACUCCAAACACUGAGAUUAAUCUUGGUGUUGGAAAAAGUAGCACAAGAAGCAGCUCAUAGUGCUUUAAACUUUUGAUUACUUAUACGAGCAACAAUAUAUGAAUCCAUGGCUUUUGGCUGCUGUAUUACCCACUGCAGUACUAAACUGCAUAUAAUUUGAUCACAUUGGAACUUCCUCUUUUAAUUUGCACAUGGCUAGAUUGUUUUCUUCCCCCUCUUUUGCAGCUCCCUUUGAAUUUUAUAUCCCUUUAAUGAGGAACUAAAAUGGGUGCAGUCUUUGUGAGCUUCUGCCAGAUGUUGUUUAAUAAUUUCAUCCCAGUCAAUCCUUUUGGAGACUCGAUGGUGGGAAUUGCACUUGGCUGUCUGCUGUAGCUUCUUUAAAAUGCAACCAUUUUCUUAGCUCCUCUUCUUCAUGCACUGAAGAAAAUCAUCCUUAAAUGCUCCUGUUUCCUUCUGAUCCUGUAGUCUCCAAGUGUGGUCAUACAACAACGGCUAUGAUUCUCAUUCCUCUAUUGAAAAUGGUUGUAAUAUAUAACUUUUUUGGUCUUGUGGCUUUAUUAUAGAAAUAAUGCCUCUGAGCAUGAGCAGAUGGCUUCUCUUUCAUCACUGCAGGUGACAUUGGGAGGAAUUAAGCAUUGCACUAAGGUGAUCAUUCUGUCAGGGUAAGCAUUUCUGCUUGUCCAACAGAAUUAUCCUCCCUCUUCUAUCCCUAGAAUUCUCUGGACCCCACAAACCAAUUUGGGAGUGGGCACACAGGGGGAGAAAAGGGGAAAGUCACAUUACAUAAGUGGAAGUCCUUGUGCAGGGCUUUCACUCAUGGAACUCAUUAGUUGAAUCCCUCCUAAUGUUUCUCAUGCUGUAUUCUGGCUCAGGGCAAUGUAAACCAGGAGGAGGAAGGGUUACAUCAUUUUUUUCACCAGACCCACAGGUUGGUUAUGCUGAGAAUGGGUUAUUGGCACUGAGUCACCCAGUGAAUAUUGGAGCAAGGAUUCUUCUAACCCAGUUCUAUCUAGUCCAAGUCCAACUCUCUAACCAUUACUCUACAACAGUGGUGGGCCUCUGGAUGUUAACUGAAAAAUCUAGAGACUCCAGAGAGAUGGGAGAAAAAUUCAGAGGCAAGCAGGCAUGUAUUUGUUUUUUUAAGAGGUUGGUCUCCGGAGCUAUCAACAUGAAUGCUAUUCAAGCAAUCUAUUUCUCCAUGUGCAAGGCAACAGAAAGCUAGCAGCCUUGACAAACUGCUUCUUGCAUAACUGAACAUGAUCACACUCACUCUUUUUCAUUCAAAGAAAUCUAAUAAACACCAGGAGACAAAUCCCAGGCCAACAGUUCAGCUGUCCAGUUGAUUGACUGGGUUGCAUCCUGUCUGCCCACUAAGGGCAACGGCGUGAAGGGAAGGGAUUGAAGAUCAAAGGCAAUUUUGUGAACCUUCCAGGUUCCUGGGGCUGAGAGAGAACCAGGAACAAUGAAGCUGCCUGUAAAAGGAAAGAAGUCCUGUCAUGUCGUUUCAGCUUGCAAUGGAAAAACAAAACAAUUGUUAGUGCAGUGAGUGACAUAGUACUCUUUAAUUGCAUUUUCCCUUUGUCGUUAGUGUGAGAGAAAGCCCCAUAGUUCAUAAUAGAUUAUGCUCCCCUGGCCAUAGAUAUGGCAAUCAUGUUGUUGCCGUAAUGUAAUGCCAGGCCCUUUAUAACCGUCUAUAACACAAAGAAGGGGUUCUAUUUGAGGGACAAGUUACAAGAAAUCCUGCUUCUGCUUAGCUCCCCAGAAAUGUGAAGCUAUUGUUCAUGGUGCACUAGGCCCAACCAGAAUGAGCUUAUUUCUGUACUUUUGGCGUAUUUAUUACUCUAGUUUGCUUUUUAAACAGGGAUCAACAUGGAAAAGUUCUGUCCCACAAAUGCUACCCUUUUGGGAACCUGAGUCUCUUCACUUUGUUUUCUCACCCAACCAUCCUUCCAUUCUAGGAAGUUUUGAAUCAAGCUGCUGCCUCAACAGAUAAAAAUAAACUCAACUUUUUGGAAGGGACCCCAAGGGUCAUCUAGUCCAACCUCCUCUAAUGCAAGAAUUCCAGCUAAAGUGACAGAUGGCCAUUCAGUUCAUUAUCUUGUUGUGAACCACCUUGAGACCUUCGGGUAUAGGGUGGUGUAUGAGUUGAAUAAAUAAAUAAUAAUAAUAAACCUCCAAUGAAGGACAUCACCACCUUUCAAGGUAGCACAUUCCAUUGUCAAACAGUUCCUACUGUCAGAAAGUUUUCCCUAACGUAUAGUUGGAAUCUCUUUUGUUGCAAUUUGAAUCCAUUGGUCUAGGUCCUAACCUCUGGAACAGGAGAAAACAGGCUUGCUCUGUCUUCCACGUGACAGCUCUCCAGAUACUUGGAGGGGUUUCCUCUGUCAAGCAACCUUUCCCAACUUCAAGCCCUAAAGACACCAGAAGUAGACCCACUGAAAUCAGAAGGAUUUAAAGUAGUUUGGAUCUAACUUAAUCUCCUUCCUUUUACCUUCUUUCCAAUAAAAAGAAAGGAUGGCUAAUAUUAAAAGCUGUUGGCAACACUAUUACAGCAUCUGUCAAAGUCAUUGGUGACAAAGCUGGGUAUUGAAUUUAGCCACUUGCAUUUCUAAUUUCAGUCCGGUAGAGGGCAAUUGUGCUCAGAACAGCAGUGAAAAAGCAUCUCCUCUGCAGCUUUGAAUACUGAUUAGUGAUGUCUGUUGAAAGAAUGCAGUCAAAAGUUUGGCCUUGAUAUUUGAUCCUGAAUCACUGAUCUAGUACACCACACAGUGUGUCUAUAGUUUAACGACAUAAUGCAUUUUCAGGUGGAAAAUAAAGCUGCACUUCUGCCUGGAAAUUAGAGCUGCUGCUUCUUCUUCUUUGGCGAUCACUCGUAGCCGAGUAAGAUUGUCUUCCAUAAACACGGUUUUAACAAUGAGUCCGUAAGUAACUGUGGAGGCCAAUUCUGGACCCACACAUCCUUCCACAGUGGGGACAUUGGUUCCCGGGUGGGAGUUGAUCACAGUGUGGAUUUGCCAAGCGUGCCUUCCUCUUAGCACGUUUGAGCAUCUAGCACACCUUACAGCCCAUGGGUAUGCUAAAUUAAAUGCAGAACGCAACCCAGGCUUCUUCAUCACAUCUACAUAGCACAUGUGAUAGUUUACAUUAUGUAAUUUUUUUGUCUCUUUUGAGGACUAAGCUAGAGAAUAGCAAUGAAGAAAUACUCUGUUCUUCUUAAUCUUAACAUUGGUUCUACCAUUAUGACAGUAGCAUCACACACACACACACACACACACACACACACACACACACUGUUUCCAUGUAAUCGGGUCAGACAUGGCUGCUAUAACUUAAGGAAUUGGCAUCUGACCUUUAUUGGUUGACUUGAACCAUUAAUCUUCCUGGGCUCCUGGCUCCAGGACUGACACAGAGGCUUACCAUGUGAUUUAUUGUUAUUUAUUUAUCACAUUGCCCCCUUCUCUUCCUCCAAACAGCUGAGAGCAGCAUACAAGGUGUUCCCCCAAUUUUUAUCUUUACCCUGUGGGUCAAGCUGAGAGGUAGUGACUAGCUCAAGGUUACCCAAGAAGAACCAGAUCAGAAAGGAAAAAAAAAUAGCCUAUGUAAUCUAGCAUUUGCUACAGUAGCCAAACAGGUAGGAAUAUAGAAAGCUGCCUUAUAAUGAGUUAUACCACUGCCCAUCUAGCUCACUGUUAUCUAUAGUGACUGGGGAAGGGUAGUACUUCUGGUGGGGGGAAACGUCGUGUUUCUUCUGGUGUAGUUUGGCCACCUUUGUCCCUACCCUGCACUCAGCUCUCACCUGAGGCUCCUAGAAGCUGUCAAAUGCGACAGCCUCCACACCCCAAGAAUGGCUUCGACUGGCUGGCUAAACCAGGUGAGGGUAGCUGCAUGUGAAGACAGGCUCUGGUGCAUUUAGCAGAUGAGACCAAUAGUGAGCCCAACAGUCAAGAAGCUUUUUUUUUUUUCCUUGUCAGGUAGGCAAGGUAGCCCAUCUAGGAGAAGGAAAACUCUGAAUCUAAACCUCCUCUGCCUUGUGGGAUAUCUUUGGGAGAAGAAAACUCCGAGUAGUAAACCCUACACAAAUCCAGUGUGGAGUCCCUAAGACAGCACCUUGUACGCCUCCUUCUGGCAACUCCUGCAGCCAAGGUGGUGCCAGAUGUAGAGCUCUGCUUUCCUUUGGACCACAUCAACAAGGCUGAGGUAGGGGUCUUGUCGUCUGGCCAGCUCAGGACCUCCAUACACUGCCCAGGUUUGCGCCCCAGGGAGGUCACUUUGCUGCUGCCUAACACAGUGAUUUAGCUUCAUCCCUGGAGGCGCACUCUAUUGUCACUCAAGACAGAUGGAUGAGAACAACAACAACAAAACCACUGAGCUAUAGCCCUUCCCCAUAAGAGGAAAGCCUUUGAGAAAUCUACAUGCAAGACAGGAAGGCUAUAGCUCUUUCCUGCUGUGGUUCCCCAUCAGCUGCUAUUUCCGUGGUGUAGUGCCUCUGAUGCUGGAAGUCACGCAUAGCAAUAAUGGGUAGCAUCCAUAAAUAGAAAAAUUCAUGCAGGAUAAGGCAUCCCCUUACAAAGCCACCCAAGUUGGUGGCCAUCAGUACAUCCUGUGGCAGUGAAUGCCACAGUUUACUUAGGUACUGUGAGAUAAAGUAUUUUCUUUGUCCUGAAUCUCCUACAAUUCAGCUUCACUGGGUGACCCCCUGCUUGGGGCUCUGGCCAUAUUCAUUUUUCAGGUUGAGGCCACAAAGAAAACAAGAUGGACAAUCUAAACUUUACGCGGGUUUGGCAGUUUCCAACUAAAGGCACCAUGUGUUUAAAGCUUCCCAGCACACAUUUAAAGCACAUUACUCCCCGCUACUAAAAAUCCUGAGAAUUCUACUUAGUUAAGGGUGCUGGGGAAACUACAGGAUUCUUGGGGGGAUGUCUUGUGCUUUAAAUGUGUGUUGGGUGUGCUUUAAGUGGCCAAAGUAAUGAAUAGAGAAAACCAAGCUGACCUCCAGGGAUGCAGGACAGCAAGUCCCUUGUUCUAUUUUCAUAAUCACUUGAAACAGAUUAAAAUAAUUGGGAGUAAACAUUAACAAGCUCGUAAUGUUUAAAUACCCUUUUCUCGCCCUACUUUCAUCAAGAAAAGCAUCACCUUUUACAUCUUCUAAGUUAAUCUGAAGCUGCCAGUGUUACCACAAAACCGUAAUUGCUUUUACCUGUCAAUAUAUUUGGGGGGUGCGUGUGUUUGUUUUCCUGGAGAUCCCAGUUGCUGAUUUUGGAUUUCCAAAGAAACAAAGCAAGGUACUUAUCUACAAAUUCUCUAAAGGCUGCAGAGGUGACUGCAGGAGUACAAACCUUUCCUUCUGUGUCCAGCAUGCCAAUAUGCUGAAAAUCUGUAAAAUAGUUUUUUUGAGGUUGUUGUCCCCCCCCCCCCAUAAACCCCUAGUAAAAUUCCAAAGUUAUGCAUUCUGGCACUCAAGAGUAUCAUGCUGCCAGUGUACUUAAUUACUCAGUCAGCUACUGCAGAGCUCCUGUAAGUGAUAGGUCACUUUGCCGUUUUAGCAACUGGUAGCCUGCAUAUAGAGCAGCCAGCAAAAAGGCUUUGGAUUUUGUAGACACAUUAGAAAUCAUUAUUUUACCCUCCCAAUGACCCUGGGCCAUGGUCAGCCAAAUAAAACCUUGCUGCCUUCAGUGAAAUGCAGAAGCAGGUUUGGCUCAAUACAAUGCAGAAGCCGCAGUGGAGUGGAGAUUCCAUUAAUACACAUACAGACCCCAAAGUCUGUGAUCUCUCAUAUCUGCCCUGCGGAGUGCUCUCACAUCAGAUGUCAAAGAAAUAAACAGCUAUCUGACAUUUAGAAGACAUCUGAAGGCAGCCCUGUUUAGGGAAGUUUUUAAUGACUGAUGUUUUAAUGUAUUAUUUACCUUUUGCUGGAAGCCGCCCAGAGUGGCUGGGAAAACCCAGCCGGAUAGGCAGGGUAGAAAUAAAUCAUCAUCAUCAUCAUCACCACCACCACCAUCCCAAACCCCUCUGCACAGCUUUCGUGGAUUGCAUACACUCAAUGCCAUUUUUGUCAAUCCAAAAUCAUUCAUUCUCUACCAACUCAACAUGCUGCUUUCAGUCUAGAUUGCUGUCCGCAAGGGUGGGAGUGCUUACUUGACACAUUUGAAAAGCCUCCUUUUGAUUAGGUUAUGCUUCUUCUCUGCACAUGCCCCAAGUGAAGGAUGGAGGAAGCAGCAAUUGUAAUGUCAUUGGGCAGGUAUGUGGAUACACCACUGGUGCCAGCACCCCCUGCACCUGUUUUCAAAGGGACACACUGCAAUGUAAUGAAGAAUCAGUGUACUUCCUGAUUUGUAAUUGUAACACGCAUCUAAUACUAGUAGUAUGUAGCUAAGACAUACAUCCAAGAUUCCUGGAAUUUCACUCCAGAUUGGGAGUUAUGUUUUUCUCUGAAACUAAAAUGCCAUGUUGUUUGAAGAACCAGGAUAAUGCAGUAAGCUUUAACUAGAGGGCUGGGGGAGUUAAGGUGGGUCAAUUCAGCAAUAAUUGGGGACACAUGUGGUGCUGUGGUCUAAAUGACUGAGCCUCUUGGGUUUCCUGAUUGGAAGGUUGGCGGUUCGAAUCCCUGCGACGGGGUAAGCUCCUGUUGCUCUGUCCCAGCUCCUGCCAACCUAGCAGCUCAAAACCACACCAGUGCAAGUAGAUAAAUAGGUACCACUGUGGCAGGAAGGUAAACGGUGUUUCUGUGCACUCUGGUUUCCGUCACAGUGUUCCAUUACGCCAGAAGCGGUUUAGUCACGCUGGCCACAUGACCCAGAAAGCUGUCUGUGGACAAACAGUGCCUUGGCUUGAAAGCAAGAUGAGCGAUGCAACCCCAUAGUUGCCUUUGACUGGACUUAACCAUCAAGGGGUCCUUUACCUUUUCAGCAAUAAUUAAUAGUUAAAGAUUCUGAUCUUGCAUGUUGUUCUUCUGUGUAAAGUUUCAUAGUUGCUUACUCAUAUUCUACUUUCUUUUCCUUACAAUCACUAUUUGCAUACAUUGUUCCUUAUUCCUCCCUUCCCCGGGAUUCAUUCCUGUAUUUCUGCUGCCGAUUUCUUUUUGAUGCAACCCUGCUUAUAUCUUUUCUAAACUGAAAUGCAUUCACUGGUCUUCUGCUGGUGUGUUUAAAAUAUUUUCCCUCUUGAAUCCUGUCUGGUAACUAACCUCUUGCCCAUUGGGACAAUUUAAGAACCUCAUUUUUCACAAGAAGCCAUCAACAGCAGUGGCAAUAGCAGGGGGCCCAGCCGCUGAUUCAGGCUAGAUGUAAUUUUGCCAUUGGCCGGAUGUGGCCCAUAUUCCAAGGAUUCAUUACCCAUGUCCCAGAGUGUCUGUUAUUUCCUCAACCCUCUGAGGUAUCCUUCCCCCAACCUGGAGUCCUCCAAAUGUUCUGGAUCACAACUCCCAUCAGCUCCUGGGGCUGAAGUGACAAAACUACAGGAGGGCACCAGGUUGGGGAAUGAUGCUCUGAAGAUCAAGAAGGUGUUUCAGAUAUUUUACAACUUCUGGAUGUGUAGAUUACAAUGGUUCAAAGCCUUAAUGAUUGAAUAUAAAUGAAAUGUGUGGGUGUUUAAUGGUGCCAAAGUAACAUUAUAAAUAAAUAUUCAAGUAGCAGCAAAAGAAAUAAUUGUGAAUUAAAUAAACAAGAAUUAUCAAGUUAACCAUGAAGGCUAUUGACAGACUUAAUCUUAAUAAAGAGACUAACAGUUCCUGCUAGACUAAAGAUUUAGAAUAAAUUCCUAUUCCUUAUAAAUAAGUUCCUUAUACAUUUCAUAUCAACCUGUCCAAGGUUGCUAUAGUUACCAGAUGUGUAGCUGCUGAUGUUUCUCCAGGGUGGUCAUUCCAUUAAUUGGUUCAGAAGUUAAUCUUACUUUGAAUUUGAAGUUCUCCUAACAAGCCCAAACCAGGCUUGUGGAUUUGAUUGAUUGUCUCCUACAGCAGCUUUGGUAACCAUGACAACCUUUAUCCAAACUGGAGAGUAAAGGCUGUUUCCCCCAAUCUGUGGAUGCCCAUCCUUAUAUUGGCCAUUGACGUCUUUAGCAUUACUUGUCUUUUCUGCCACAUGCCUGCCAUUAAAAGGAGGAAGAGGUUUUGCCUUAAGCUCAUAUAAGAUGUGGGGAAAUCAGCUGUUGAUCUUUAGCCAUCAGUGCAUCUGAAACUGCUUCACUGUUGCACGAGAGAUCUUCUAAAGCUGGACAAAGAAUUAUAAUGCCACAUUAGCUUCGCUUUGGCGUCCAUUUCGGAAGGCCUGCCUCUACCCCUCGCAGCAAGAGCAAGGCAGUCAGGGAGAAUAAAUGGCUAUUCCAUAGGGGAUCGAAGUUAGUGUCUCAGUCAACAGUUGCACUGCUGCUCCUUGCUCUGUGGCUGUUCAACAGCCCAUAGUACUGCAUGAUUUAAGGAGUCUGCCAGACUCUCCUGACUUCCUGCCUUGCUUUGAAUUAGAUCUAUGCUCAGCAGGCCUGAGCUACACAAGAGGAAGGGGAAAAAUCACUGGGCCAGGUCCCCAGCACUUGUGCAAAGAGCAGAAUUGCCUUAAGGCACCUUUAGAUGCCAUAUAUUAUUUACUGAAUAUUUAUCCUGAUUUGUUUGCACAAAACAUAGAUGAUGUCUGUUGUUCUUUGACUGGGCAUUCUGAUUUGUUUAUACAAUUUCCCAUCAGCUGAUUCUUAUUCCACAUUUCCGAGUGCAUUUCCCCAUCACAAAAAAGCCAGUUUAUUUAUUUAUUUAUUUUUUUGAAAAGUGGGUUCGUUGUGCCAGAGAACUUUAAUGCACUGUAACUGUGGAAACCUACAUUUGCUGGUAUAUAAUUAGAUCCAAUUGUGUAUUGGAGGUUAGGGGAGGGGUACUAUCCCUGCUGCGGGACACAUUUUACUCCUUCUAGGGUAGUUUGUCCACCUCUGGUCCCCACCCUGCACAGAGUUCUCGCCUGUAGCUCCUAGAAACUGUCAGCAUGCGACAGCGGCCACACCCCAGGAAUGGCUUCGACUGUCUGGUUAAACCAAGUGAGGAUAGACAAUGGGUCUCAGACCCUCAGUGAGUUAAUGACUUCCCCCUGCAUGCGAAGACAGGCUCCAGCAGACUGAGUGGAAGAGACCAAUAGUGGGCCCAACGUUCAAGAAGGCAGUUUUUGCUUGUGGUGUAGAGGGCUGUUAGGGGCAGAUGGGGCUCGUCAACCUGUGAAGGUAGCCCAUCUAGGAAAAGGAAAACUCUGAUCCUAAAACUCUGCUGACCUACAGGACAUCUUUGGGAGAAGAAAACGCUUUGGAGUAAACCCUAUACAAAUCCGGAGUAGACUCCCUAAGACUGUUGGCUAGCGCCUUGUAUGCCUCCUUCCGGCAAUGCCUGCAGCCAAGCUGGUGCCAACUGUAUUGCUCUGCUUUCCUUUGGACCACAUCAGCAAGGCCAAGAGGAAGGUCUUGUCAUUUGGGCAGGCCAGGACUUCCAUACACGCUGCUUGCGCCUCAGGGAGGUCACUUGGGUGCAAGGAUUUGCCUUCACCCCCAGAGCUGCACUCCAUUGUCUCUCGAGACAGAUGGAUGCCAACAACUGAAUCCUUCCUACAAAUUAGUGAGUCUCUUCUGUGUAAUUCACAGAACCAGGCUUGCUGAUAUUAGUACACCAGCCUCAGUACACCAGCUCAUGUAAUAGGAAUGUUGGUGGCACAUGGGGAAACCUAAGAUGAAGUGAGGGAGCUCAGGUAGACUUUGUUUCAUUCUAGGAUCCAAUUUCCCUUUCUGACAUUUAACAACCUGACAGAGCUUACCCAAUGUCAUAAACACAGUUUCCUACAGGAGCCUUGAGACGCUCUCAUAGUUUGGCACCUUAGCAGCUAUUAGCAAGGCACUUAAAAAGUCAAUAUGUCUGUACACAAGGAAAAUAAGCUCUGCUUCUUACAUUUCACACUCGUGUCUAAAAAUCUGGAUGCUGUGUAAUGUGAAAGUGGCCAUGCAGGUGUUUUUUAUACAGUGCAACUGGAAGCCAGUUGUGGCAUCCAGACAUCUGGCAAAACAAUGUUGCUUGUUUAACCCUUCACAUGUUGCAUGCACAAGUGUGGCUCCGUAUCUGAGAAGCAGCCCUUGGGUGAUUGGCACUCUGUCACAGAUGCAGCCAUGCACUCCAUUUGACCUGCAUUACAGACGCAAGCAGAAAGGAUCCAUUGUUGUAUGAAAAAUAGCACAGAUGGACAGGGACCUUUUAAGCCCAUUUUCUCAGGCAUUUGAAGCUUCUCCAUUUGAUUCCUCCUCCCUAGCCAUCACUCAAGCUCCAUGUUUCUAUUACAGAUGCCUUAAAAGAAACCUCCUUUUUCACUUUCUCGUUUGCGCCCCUGCAUCACGUCAAUCUCCACACAGUUCAAAGAUUAGUAUUUAUUAGCAAACUGCUGCUUUUGUGUCAGCGGGGAACAUGUACACAAGUUCUCCGGUAAUUGUGACUUUAUGUAUACCUUUGGUGACAGAGUAAAGUGAAUUAAACAAGGAUAAAAAGGACAGGACGUUUACACAGGAUACACAAGAAAGCAGUUUCUAUAUUAGCCUCUUUUUGGAAGCCAGCCUUCCCAGAAACCCCUUUGUGAAUCAGAAUUAGGACAGAGCAACUCGCAUUUAUAUUGCAACUCUCAUUCAUUCCAAACUAUAGGCCAUAUGGUUUUCAAGUGUGUGUGUGUUUGCAUUCCCAGUCCCAGUGCCACCCUUCACUAGGCAGUGGCUAAGUGAAAUGUGAUAGAACAAACUCAAGCAGACAACAAUCAGGAUUGAAAAUGGCCACAACUUUAUUGAUUACAGAUGUAGGUGGAAUUUUGGCUCAGCCAUUGCAUGUAUAUCCUCCUGCUUCAGGGUCUUGCCAAGGAUUAUGGCCUCCCCAAGAAGGCCAAUCUACAAUGUUCCCUGACCAGGCAAGGCAUCAACCAAUGCCUAGCCAGCCAGCAAGGCACUCUCCAACUGGUGGGGUCUCUGAUUGGGCUAUUUGAAGCUAGCUUUCUGGCAAGGAGUCUUACCCUCUGAUCUUGCUGGUUGAGGGAAUUCCCAAAAGGCUUGCAAACAUAUGUGAUCUGGCUCCUAGGGAUGGCGGUGGAGAGUGAGAGGCUGCAAUCACUGCCCACCUGGAAAAGUCAUGAGUGGCUAUAAUCAUCCUGGUUCUUUCCCAGUUGUGAUUAGAAUAAGUAAAAAAGUUAAAGGUAAAGGACCCUUGAACAGUUAAGCCCAGUCAAAGGUAACUAUGGGGUUGCAGCGCUCAUCUCGCUUCCAGGCCAAGGGAGCUGGUGUUUGUCCACAGACAGCUUUCUGGGUCAGGUGGCCAGCAUGACUAAACCACUACUGGCGCAAUGGAACACUGUGAUGAAAGCCAGAGUGCAUGAAAAUGCUGUUUACCUUCCCGCCACAGCGACACCUAUUUAUCUACUUGUACUGGUGUGUUUUCAAACUGCUAGGUUGGCAGGAGCUGGGACAGAGCAAUGGGAGCUCACACCUUUACGGGGAUUCUGAUCAGCAAGCCCAAGAGGCUCAGUGGUUUAGACCACAGCGCCACCCGUGUCCCUUGUGAUUAGAAUACCACACCCAUGACAAAGGGGUGGUUUUCAUUUGUGCUUCAUUGUUCAGCUUGUUCAGCUUUAUUUCCAUUACCUCCUCCCCUCCCAUGGCCCAGCUGUUUACUUAUUUCUGGCCUCCUUUGCAGUAUAAAAUCAUACAUUUUUUCCUUUUUCUUUUUUUGUGCUGCGUUCUUAUUGCCUGUUGGCUUUGCUUUAAUUGGAUAUUAGAAAACAGCAUAGGUGCAGCAAGAAGUUCACGGAGAUAGGAGAUUAGAUUUACCUGUUUUCAUGGGAAUAAUAUUUUACCCUUUUAUUUCCUCCCCUCCACAAUAAUCACCAAUAUCUCUCAUUUUUUCUCUUUCACCUCCCCCCCUCCAGCUUGUUUACAUUCCUUUUCUUUUAUUUAUUUUUUAGAACAGUUUGCCCUUAUUGUCAUAGAGCAUGCUAUUAGAAAACUCCGGGAAAGAAAGUAGGAAGCUACAGGUUAGGCUAAUUGGCAACACCUGCAUGGCAGGAUGCUAUGAAUUACAAAACAGCAUCUCACUCUGAAGGAUACGGAGCUGUGAAUUGAGGAGUUACAAAAAUGAGGAAUGUUUUCUGACAUUUUCCAAUUCUCAGAAACUGGCUUAAAAGGAAAGAGCACUUAGAGAAGAAGUUUGAGGUGCUUUCUGAUUUCACACGAGGCAAGAUCAAGUUUUCCUUUCUUGGAAGAAGGUUCUGAGAAAAACAUUUAGUGAAUAAAAAGAAUGGCCAAACUUUAAGCCUGUCCUAUUGAACUGAAAGGGGUUUUUCUCUCCCUUUCUCUUCCUUAUUUUGAAAAAAAGCCAAACCACUGCUAAUUUGUAUUUCUAUUAGUUUCAUCAGAAACCUUCUCUUGCUUUUUUCUUGCUUAUCAAUAGGUUUUGUCAGGAAAGACAUAAAGCUAUUAUCUAUUAUUAUUUUCAGAUUCUCUUAUUCAAUUAUUGACACACUGGCAAGAAUUCUUCAUUGGAAACUGCUGUACAGUAUUAUAGUUCUCAUAGUCAAUAAAAUGUUUAAAUUCACUUGUGGAGUGUGCCCACAUUACGAAUUAAGUAGCAUGGUAGUAAACCCCAUUGAAUUCAAUGGGGCUUUUGAGCAGACAUGUAUAGGAUUGCAUUGCUAAACCAGUUUCAAACUAGUUUAGCCAGCGUGUCUUGUAGAAUCUCCAGGAUCUGUAGUUUCCUGUGAACCUUCAACAGAGGAAAAUCUAGACUCUCACGAAACUGCUAUUCUCAAAAUUCUUGGUAGAAGGCAGGCCAGAUUUAAACAAGUUUAAAACUGUAAUGUAGGUGCAUGUAUGCUAUCAAACUAUUUUCUGGAACAACACUUUAAACAAAUCAUUAUUUCUUUUCCUGAACGAUACUCUGCUUUUUCAGCUUAUGUUCACUGUCUCCUUAGAACUAUAAAUCUGUUUUCAUCAAUCAUUUGAAUUGCAUGGCCUGUCAGUGAUCUCUUGACAUUCAUUAAUACCUUGACAUCAUGCACCAUGAUGUAACAUACCCCUCCAUUAGCUACAUGUUAUUGGAUUGUCUGAACAACAUGAUCUUAUCAAUGGAAGUCAUUCCCACCCGUGGAGUGAGAAGACCCUUUAUAGAAAAGAACUUUGAAUUAUUUUUAUUUGGAAGACAGGCAUGGAGUUAACCAAGGAAAACAUUCUGCAUGCUCAAAAAUUCUGCAUAUGCAAAAUGAAAAAGAAAGGUCACCAAAUUCUAACCUUUCCACAUAUUAGAAUAAUGUGGCUAGAAUCAUUCUAGUCCCAAAAGCCGAUGCACUUUUGUUUAGUUUACUCUGAUUAUGGUAUCUUUUCACCCAGUAUAUAAAAUGUGCCUUUAAUGAUUUUUACCUUAUGUGAUGGCCUACAUCUCACAAAGAAUAUAGAGACAAAUAUAUGACAAUAUGAGUUAGUUUUGCUCUCAUUUUAAGCUUGAUUCAGUCUUAUGACCUCUUGUCUCUGCCGUUUUCAUCCUGUUCUCUUUGGCUUGCCAUUUUCUAUCACCUCAGUGUUUGCAAGUCAGGGACAAGUAAGACUGGACUUUGCCCAGUUGAAUUCAAGAGAAAUAACAAUGGAUCAAAUAAGGAGUUUAAGGCUGCAAUCCUAAUGCCAUUUAGCUAUGAGUAUGAUGUUCCACUGAAUUCAGUAGAAUUUACUUUUGAGUAGACAUUAUUAAGAUUGCUAAUUCAGAACAAUCAUUUUUUGGUUGUUUGUGCCUAUAACACUGACUGAAGAUGAGAAGAUGCGGGGGAGUAAAUGAGGUUCUGGGGAGUUAAUAAUGAAACAGUGGGCUCAAAGGAGGAAAGCUCAAAUAUAAUGUAAGUUCAAGAGUCCUAUUUGUGGAACUUAAGAGAUCAUUAUUAUUUGGAAAUGCUGGCCAAAAAAGAGAGCUUAUAGAAGCAAAGUAGGGGCAGAGAAUUUCAAAGGGAAGGAAAUAAAUAUUAUUCCUAGGUCAUGAUUUAGCCUUCAGGAAAUUUUAAAAGUCCACUAUUAAAAAGUGUUGAUCAGAAAUUCUUUCAAAGUGAGAUCACCGAGAGAGAACUGUUUUUCAAAAUAAGCUAAUAAAGGAAAAUAUGGAAUAUAAGCCACCUGCAUGCUAAUUAGAUAUAAAGACCUGUUGAAACAAGAUUUUGAGUCACAUACCAGAGACUGACAGAUUGAUAAGAUGAAGAUGGACAAUCAGAAUUUUGAAACUGGAACCAACAAGCAAGAGAGCAGAACAUAAAUAAAAGGCAUUUCCUCUAGAAACCAGAACAUGAGGAGUCCCUAGAAAUUAAUUUAAUUUAAUUUGGAAUAUAUAAUUGGUGAUAGUGUAUAUGAUAUGAUUUGAUAUGAUUUAUUUAUUAAUAAUUGAAAUAUUUUUAUUGGAAAAUGAAUAAAUCUUAUUUAUAAAAAAAGAAAUUCUUUCAAAGUUCGUGUUUACUUGCAAGGCUGUGAAAAUUUAUUUAUUUACGAUUUCAGUGGCUAGCCCUUCUUUCAUGAAAUGAAUAUCAGGAUGAACUACAAUAUAAAACACAACAAAAAUAAAAUAAAAUCACACAUCAUUUAAUUGAGAGAGAAAAAUUACAACCACUAUUAAAACCACACAUUUCUAACAACAAAGUUGGUAGAUAAUUAAUUAAUUAAGUUUGCAACUGGUCCCAGUUACAUCCAUGAGUCCACCAAAAAUUCCCAAUCAAAUAUGUGUGCAAGUUGGAUCUCAGAGUGGAGGGUAUUCUGCCACCACAGAAACGGCUUUAUCCCAUGUUCCUGCACAGGGUACUUUGAUGGAUUGCAUGUAUAUAUCACAUGUUUCUCCAAGGAACUCAAAGUGUCAUACAUAGUUCUCCACUUCCACAUAUAAUUCCCACAACAACCCUAUGAAGUAGGUUAGGCUGAGAGGCAGUGACUGGCCCAAGGAUGGCUCCACAGAGAGCACAUUACAACCGCUCAGCUGAGAGGUUACCAGAACAGGGAUUACAGUGACAAUGACAUCUCUGUCCAGGAACAGCCAUGGCUGGUGAACCAACAGGAACUAGGAAGAGGUGCCUAGGUGCAUAGGAGACUUCAGUGCCUAUUGAGGUAGGAAUAUACUAAUUGCUCUUCAUCUUGCCCUUUGGGACAGCUUAGAAAAACCAGCUGAGUAAAAUUCUUGACAUGCUCCUUAAAAUCCUUAGAAAGCUUUUGAAAUAUCUUUCUCCUUGUUACCAUUGUGUUUUUUCUGUGUUAUGUGCUCCUAUCACAUUCUGUGUCAUAUAAAUAUUCUCUUUGAUUUUUUUCUUUUGAGAAGUUCUUUUAUUAUAUACAUAAAUGCAUCCUACCAAGCACUUUUUAUGCUGGACCCCCAAAAAAGAUAAAUAAGUAGGACUCUCUUCAUGAGAGAGUUCAAAUUGCCUAGUUGGUCCAAAAUAAUCUGCAACCUUUUUUUGCGGGGGAAUCAUUCCAUUCCCUUGCCUUGUUCAUGUUGGUUGCCCUUGAUCAUGGAUGGGAGUUGUAGUUCAACAACAUCUGGAGAGCCAAAGGUUGCCCACACCUGCUAUGGGUGAAUGAACCUUCCAGAUGAACUAUAGGGUAUGAAAGUUUCUCCUGAAGAAGGGAGAGAAAAUGUGAUAUGAUGCUGCUUGAAAAUAAACCUAGCAUAUUUACUCAUUGGGACGCGGGUGGCACUGUGGGUUAAACCACAGAGCCUAGGACUUGCCGAUCAGAAGGUCGGCGGUUCGAAUCCCCGCGACGGGGUGUGCUCCUGUUGCUCGGUCCCUGCUGCUGCCAACCUAGCAGUUUGAAAGCACACCAGUGCAAGUAGAUAAAUAGGUACCGCUCCGGCGGGAAGGUAAACGGCAUUUCCGUGUGCUUCUCUGGUUCACCAGAAGCCGCUUAGUCAUGCUGGCCACAUGACCCAGAAGCUGUACGCCGCUCCCUCGGUGUCAAGGAUGAUUGGUGGGUGCUAGAAGAGAUAAGAGUCCGGGCCUCCAGCCAGUUUUACAGGUUUUAUUAGGUCCAUUUUCCUAUUUACACACAGAGCUCUCAGAGCACAUCCGGCUCAUUCGGUAUCAGUUGCAGAGACUGACCUUUCCUUUCGUUUUCUCCAACAUAACCACUUCCGGAGCCCUCCCCUUUUCCUUCCUCUCUGACGUGAAGAGCUAAGCCCCAGAAAUUGCUCCCCCCUCCCUGAUUCAUUGCUUCCUGACAACCCUUCGUCAUCCUCCCCCUCUGAUGAGGUGCAACUACUUACGAUUGGAGGCUUAUCUCUGUAUUUUCCCAUCAUUUCCCCCUUCUCAGUCCCCAGUUAUCUGACACUCGGCCAGUAAAGCGAGAUGAGUGCCGCAACCCCAGAGUCGGCCAUGACUUGACCUAAUGGUCAGGAGUCCCUUUACCUUUUUAUUUACUCAUAGUGAAUGAGUUCUCCGAGUACCAAUUCUUAGGUAGCUCAAGCAACACCAUCCAUGGACAAGAGAAAGGUAUCAAUAGAUCUGGAUGAUACCCCCUUCCCCAGUUUUUCAAAAGUACUCCCCUAAAAUAAAAAUAAACUUUGGGGGGGGGGAAUGCAUAAGCAGAAGGGAGGGAAGUGCUUGUUAGGAUAUUUCCGUUCCACCUUAAAAGGGAGCAGGCUUUGUGAGUCAGAGUCUGCGUAUUUCCUGUUCACAGGAUGUUUAUGUUUUCUGUUGCUUUCGUUUUCUCUCUGGUGUCGCAGACACUAAAGCAGUCAGUCAUGUUUUUCUGUGUUCUGAUCAACGCUGAAUAAACUUGUAAAUAAUGCUCUCCUGGGUGCAACUUUUGCUGUGACUAUCUGCUGAUAGAGUGUGCAUGAGCUCUGGAAUGUGGCAAGAAAUCUUCUAGAAACUCAUGUCGCUAAUUGUUGAUACUGCGUGACUACGGGAGGUCAAUGGAUCGUCCGGCAGACGGCUUGGGGGCCUUGAUGGACUUUAUCUCCCUGGCAGUAUCCCAACAACAGGUUAUGGGCCCAGAUUCACAGCACUUACAGGAGAGUAAGACUGCGACAGACUGCUGAAAGGUAUGUGGAGGAAAAGCGAAAGUAAGGCUUUUCUGUUUGCCGCUGCAAGGGCCUUUGAACUCCGGCAGAUUAAUGGAUCUGGGAGCCGCGCCAAAGGCGCCAAAGGCCUCAAGAUUUAUGAGCUGCCGAGAUAAGACAUCUCUGAAGUGAAUAAGAACUUUUUAAAGACUCACGGCUCAAAUAAAAAGCUGGAAUGGAGUUUUUCCAGGCUUCUGAGGCUGAGUGCCCAAAGUUAAAUCGGCACAAUUAUGGGACCUGGGCUGUGUGGUGUGAGAGCUUGCUGCGUCAGUUUGGAGUGUGGCAUACUGUGUCUGAAGCCCCUCCAGUUCCUCUGACAGAUAGAUGGGAGGCCGAGAAUUUGAGGGCGAUAGACGUAAUCGUCUUGUCCGUCUCUCUGGAGGAAAUAAAGACGCUAGCUGGCAAUCUGACUGCACGUAAUAUGUGGCAUGCUUUGAAGAUAGCCCAUCUGCCAGUCAUCCCAGCCCAGAGUUUGACUGCAUCGGAGGUCCUGGCUGUUUCCCAGAAUGCGAGUGAAUGCAGGGAUGCCGAGGGCACCGGUUGCAAGCUGCAGGGGAGCUGACUGUCACGUCAUCCCAGGCAGCAUUCCAGCCUCCAGGGGAGCCAAGGAGUCGGCAGCUGAGAGCUCUGUUUCUCGUGGGAGCCAAGGUCAUCGCCUUUGCAGAGGCCGGAAGGGCAAAGGUAAACAGAGGCAGACGCCUGCAGAUGGCCAGAAGCAGAGGGAGGGUGAAGAGCCCACGCCAGUGGAAAACAAGGUUUUGUUUGCUGGCACAGCCUCACCAAAGGCUAAAGGCAAGUCUGAUGGCCAGGAGCAGGGGGGCAAGCUGCAAAAGCCCACGCCGGUGGAAAACAAGGUUUUGCUUGCUGCAAAGGCUGCUCCAAAAGCCAAGGCCAGGUUUGUUGUUGAUUCAGGCUGUACCCGCCAUGUCUCAAAAGACCGCCAUCUAUUUAUCUCCUUCACGCCUCAAGAUGGUGAGAUCCACCUGGCUGAUGGAAAGACGUUGCGAAUUGCGGGAGAAGGGACUGUGAAACUGGCAAGUCUGCACACUACCAUCAAAGAUGUACUAUAUGUUCCAGGUGCUGCAGACAAUUUGCUCAGUGUCCCACAGCUUACUGGGCGUGGUUUUGAGAUUUCCUUCAAGAGGAGCGUCUGUGUCAUCAGAAAAGGCAAAGAGGACAUUUUGCAUGCAAAGUUUAUGGAUGGCUUGUUCUGUAUAACUUAUGAUGACAUUGGUGCUGUUGUGUCUAAUGCUGAUUCUUGUUGUGUUGCACAAACUAACAAAGUUCUUCAUGCAGGAUGCAUUCAUGAUGCACACAGAAGAUUUUGUCACAUGUCUUGGCAGGCGCUGGCCAAGAUGCCAGAGAUGGUUGAGGGUUUGAACAUCAAACCCUGUAAGUUUCACAUGAAAUGUGUAUCUUGUGCAGAGAACAAGGUGAAGGUUGCUCCAAAAGGCAAGGAGUCUAGCAGGCAGGCUUCCAAACCCUACCAGCUAGUGCACGCAGACCUGGUUGGUCCACUUGCGCCCUCUUUGGGUGGAGCAAGGUACUUCAUGGUUCUAAUUGAUUCUUUUUCCAGGUACAUUCAUGUGUUUAUGCUCGAGCAGAAAUCGCAAGCGUUUCCUAAGUUCAAGGCAUUCUGUGCUUGGUUGGAGAAUGUUCACGGUAAACGUAUUGGCUGUCUGUUUACUGAUCGAGGCGGGAGUUCACUUCUCAGCAGUUUGAAGCUUUCCUGACUGAGAAGGGAAUCCAGCAUGACUUGUCAACGCCUAGAUCGCCAUGGAUGAAUGGGCUUGCGGAGCGAGCAAAUCAAACGUUGCUGCAAGGACUGAAAACAUUGUUGCAUGAUGCCAAUCUCCCUGAGAAGGGUUGGGGAGUCUUUGAACUCGUUUGUUUACACUUUUAAUCGCAGGUUGUCAUCACCUAUUGGUUGUACUCCCUAUGAGAAGAUGUUUGGUAAGAAACCCAACAUCAAGCACAUGAGAAUCUUUGGUUCUGACAUGUGGGUACACACCCCACAGAGCAACAAGCUUGGGAAGCGUGGGGCACAUGGUUUGUUCAUGGGGUACGAAAAGGUGCAUACAGGGUAUGGAUGACCAACUCUAAGUCCAUUAAGUUCACAAAGAGUGUUGAGUACAAUCCUAAGUGGGGGGAAAAUGUGGGAAUUUUCCAGAGUUACCCAGAGGAGGAUGAAGGUGAUGUCAAAGAAGCAGCUAAAGCUGAGGAAGCUGCUGAGGAUGAUGAUGACGAUGAUGAUCAGAGUUCGGAUUCCAGUUCAGUGGGCGGCGCUGCUGCUGGUGUCAGUGACAGUGAUGACACAGCAGACUACAAGAGCGCAAAGGCCUCAGUCAGACCAUCUGAUGCGUCUGACAAUGAACUGGAAGAACCACUGUUCACCAUUGGUCACUUUUCUCCUAAGAAAGAGGAGAUGAGUCCAGAAGACUUGCGUCUAGUACGCAGAUCAGAAAGAGCCACAAAAGGCAGACCUCCAAAGAGAUUUGCUGAUGAGUUUGCUAAGACAGCAACUGCUGUUCUUAGUAGCUCAGAGAAGGUGUGGGAACCUUCAAGCUUCAAAGAGGUUCAAGAGUUAACCUCUAAAGAUGCUGAGCCUUGGCUUAAUGCCAUGAAGGCUGAAGUUGAUUCCUUGAAUAGGAACCAAACUUGGGAACUGGUACCGGUAGUCCCAGGGAUGAGACUGGUUGGCAGCAAAUGGGUCUUCAAGGCCAAGACAGACCAGAAUGGCAAGGUUGUCAGACACAAAGCCAGAUUGGUUGCCAGAGGUUUUUCACAGGUACCAGGACAGGAUUACCACGAGACCUACUCACCCACCGUCAAAUAUGAGAGCAUUCGGCUGAUGCUCAAGAUAGCUGCAGAGGAGAAACUGCAUGUUUCCCAUCAUGACAUUAAUACAGCCUUUUUGUACGGGGUUCUGGGGGAGGAGCUGUUUAUGCUUCCACCUGACGGGAUGCAGAUACAGAAGGGAAUGGUCUGUAAACUGCGGAAAUCCUUAUAUGGUCUCAAGCAGAGUGCCAGGUGUUGGAACACAAAACUCACUGAGACGUUGCUUUCUCUAGGUUUUCACCAGGGCAAAGCUGAUCCAUGUGUGUUUGUCAAGGAGGAGGGGCAAAACAAACUGUAUUGUUUAUGUUUUGUUGAUGAUCUUCUGAUGUUUUGGAAGAAUCAGGCUUUUUAUCAAAGCACCCUAGCUCAGCUGAAGGAGCACUUUGACAUGAAGGAUCUUGGUGAGGUAUCCAACUAUCUUUCUCUGCAGGUGGAGAGGGACCAAGCAGGUAAUUUUCUGGUACACCAAACACAGAAAAUUGCUGAUGUAUUUAACCAGGUUGAAUUUGGUUGAUGCAAACCCAGCAGACACACCGAUGGUGACAGGUUACCAGGUAGAUAGUACUGCUGAAGCGUUUUCUGACACAACGCUGUACAGAUGCAUUCUAGGCAAGUUGAAUUUCAUUGCUAGAUGCUCAAGACCUGACAUUGCUGUAAGCACUAACCUGCUUAGCAGACAUGCCAACAAUCCUACUGUUCAGGAUUGGAAAGCUCUGAAGCGCAUAACCCGCUAUUUGAAAGGGACUAUGCACUACAGGCUGAGGUUCACCAGUCAGAAGACUGGAGGUCUUGAAAUCUUUGCAGAUGCAAGUUUUGGAAGUGACACCACGGAUGGUACAAGCACUUCUGGAGUAUGCUACAUGUACAACCACUGCCUGUUUGACUGGUUGUGCAAAAGCAGACGACAGUGAGCCUAAGUUCCUGUGAAGCAGAACUCAAUGCUCUGUCAUUUUCACUCAUGGAUUGUGAAUGGUUGAUGCAACUGUUUAAGGACAUCGGAGUUUCUGUGAAAUGUCCUGUACAAGUGUAUCAAGACAAUAGAUCGUGUUUGGCUUUGCUGAACUCAGAGAGUUGCAAGCAAAGGACCAAGUACUUGCAGAUUAAGCUACAUCGUGCAAGAGAGUGUAUUCAGAAAGGACUCAUUCAGGUGUCCUACAUGCCAGGAAAUGAAAUUCCUGCUGAUCUGUUGUCUAAGGUUGUUAACAGAGAACAACUUAAGGUUUAUGUACAAAAGUUGCAAUUGGGUUGAACCACAGGUACUACAGGUUACACGGACAGGGGGCGGAUGUUAGGAUAUUUCCGUUCCACCUUAAAAGGGAGCAGGCUUUGUGAGUCAGAGUCUGCGUAUUUCCUGUUCACAGGAUGUUUAUGUUUUCUGUUGCUUUCGUUUUCUCUCUGGUGUCGCAGACACUAAAGCAGUCAGUCAUGUUUUUCUGUGUUCUGAUCAACGCUGAAUAAACUUGUAAAUAAUGCUCUCCUGGGUGCAACUUUUGCUGUGACUAUCUGCUGAUAGAGUGUGCAUGAGCUCUGGAAUGUGGCAAGAAAUCUUCUAGAAACUCAUGUCGCUAAUUGUUGAUACUGCGUGACUACGGGAGGUCAAUGGAUCGUCCGGCAGACGGCUUGGGGGCCUUGAUGGACUUUAUCUCCCUGGCAGUAUCCCAACAUGCUGAGUAUCUGCCUGUUGAGGAAAAGAAUGGGAAACAGUGGGUGGAGGUGUGAGAAGGCAUGGUAUGUAGUAUCAUGAAAGAAAACAUGGGUAACUAACUUAAUGCAGCAACACUUCAUUGCAAGUCUUACUUGUAAAAAAGGUCAAAUGAAUCUUGUGGAUGCAGACAUACAGUGAUCCCAAAUGGACAGAGGACUAUCCUAGAAUCAUAGAAUCAUAGAGUUGGAAGAGACCACAAGGGCCAUCAAGUCCAACCCCCUGCCAAGCAGGAAACACCAUCAGAGCACUCCUGACAUAUGGUUGUCAAGCCUCUGCUUAAAGACCUCCAAAGAAGGAGACUCCACCACACUCCUUGGCAGCAAAUCCUACUCUUGCAGUUGCAGGAAUAUCAUCACCAGCAGAGGACAGUGAGGAGGCAUCAGCCCUGAUCGGAGGUAGAAAGAACGUGCUUCUGGCAGCACACACACUUUACGUUUAAAGCACACUUGACACACUUUCUCUUCCUCAAAGAAUUCUGGGCACUGCAGAUUGUUAAGGGUAGCUGGGAAUUGUAACUUUGUGAGGCAAAAACUACAGUGCCCAGAAGUCUUUGAGGGGGGCAAAUGUGCUUUGAAUGUGCUUUAAAGAUAUUGUCCCUAAGCUGUUGUAUCAUUUUGGGGUGGGAGAUGAGUCUAUGGGCCUCUCCAAAGUGGCCUGGGGGUAAGGGAAGAGAAGAAAUUUUGCUUAAACACAGCUCCCCACAAUUACAUUGGUAGAGAAGGACUUGAUUCCCUUUACUUUUAUAAGACUUCUUACCCACCCUUCACUGAAAGAUCCCAGUGCAAGUUACAGCAGCAGAAUAUGCAGCUGUAACAACAAAUAGAUCCAUUCCAAAUGGAAUGAAGCUGUAUAUGUUCAGCUAAAGAGCUGGGUCCCACAAAACAAAUUACCUUAACUGCCAAAGACCUUGAAGUCACCAGGGGUUCAUUGCUACUGUAAAUUUUCUGGGGUUUCCACACUUGUGGGUUGAAGUACAGAAAUGUAGCAUUCAACUUCAAUGGAAGCCAACUAUUGAGAAUGGGGGGCAUUAGAGACAUGAAGACAAUAUUCUCACAUUGCCCUGCUACACCCAGCCUCAUGGCCCUUAAUUCUUGAAGCUGUAAAAUGCAUAUAAUACAAGGUGCAAAAUGAAGAAGGACUUUGCUUGUAGGUAGCUGUGGAGGUAGGUGCUUAUAGCAAACAUCUGUGGGUCCUGACUGCUUUAAUAUUUGAGAACACAACACAGUUUUGCACCAGCUCUGCUGAUGAUUAAGAACCUUUGAAAGGGAUUGACGUAUCAGCCUACCAUAGAGCAGCAGAGCAGUGCAAAAAUCAUUUUGUAAUUAUAGAACUUUCCUGUAACUUUGAAGUUUGAUUAUCUGCACAGUUUGCUGGUUUGCACCAUUUGCUUAUUUGCACAGUCUGCUUAUUUGUGCAAUUUGCUUAUUCAUAUUGAUUUGCAUGUCAUAAUUUUAACCUGUUGAGUAUGUGCGGUUCUUGCGGAGAUGUGCUGGUUCCAGCUCUCCAGCAGCUCUGUAACACCGAUGGCCUGGGUCUGAGAUUGGAUGAACAUUAUCACACCAUCCCAGAGAUAUUUGAGUGUGUCACAUGGGAUAGGCCUUUUAAAAACCACCACCAAUUUCAUUACAGUCCAAAGAAGAUAAUGGCAUCAUGGAAUCCACAGAAUUGGGUCUCAGAGAGCAUUCCAGGCGAUCUUAUCACUUGUCACUUGAACUGAGUUUAUUUGAACCCAUUUAUCAUUUUCAUUAGAAUCAUUGUAAUGAGAAAGGAACACUGUUCCAUUUUUUAAUCUUGCCAGCAUGUAAUAUACAGCCUGGAUGUAAAGAAAGCAGCAGCAGACACUAUCAAACUCAUUUUCAUUUUGCUUUGCUUGCAGCAAUCUUCAAAUAAAGGGGACAUAGAGGGUAAAUGAAGAUGCAGAAGGGGGACUGUGUCAGAACACUUCCGGGUGGAAAUGUAAGCAUCUUUCUGAACUGUAAUGUGUUUCAGGAAUCCCAAGGAGAUCAUGUUCAAAACCCCAAGGCUGGAUGGUCUUACAAUAUGUUCCUAUCUGUAUGUAAGUUUGAGUGUGUGUGUGUGUGUGUAUUGAUCAUGCUAAAAAUCUGCAACUGCUUUUAAGGUCUUCUUGGCUCAUUACACUUUCUCACAGUGUGGUUCUGGCUGAAUGUGCCAGAGAUACUAGUGAAUGCAAUUCCCUCUUUGCGCACACACAGAGAAGUUCUAUUACCAAAGAGGGAUUGUAAGCCUCUGGAUUUUGAUCAAUGUACUUACAAAACUGAGUUAGAAGAGAAUAGCAAGAGAUAAGACAUAAAACUCUUACUGUCAUUUCCCUCCUUUUACUUGUGAUUUCAAGUCCUCAUCUCCAGCACCAUUUUUUUCAAGGAGAAAAUUGACAGUAUGUAGUGUGAAGCUUCAUAUACCACCAAGAAUCGUUUUCCUCUUGCCCUUUUGCCCCUUCUCUUUUACUUUCUCUCUGCAUUAUCCCAGACUCUGACUAUGCUCUGACUAUUUCUCUCUGCAUUAUCCCAGACUCUGACUAUGCUCAGGGUUCUCUUUCCUCCAUUUCCAAUUCCACAACCUGACAUUAUCAACAUGAAGUUGCCUUGUACUGAGUCAAACCACUGCUACACCUCACCCUGCUGCUGCUGUCUCAAGCUGACUGGCUGCAUCUUUAAUAUAUCCACUAAUUCAAGGAUGGGGGCCUGAAAGCUUGCAGGCUGGAUUCAGCGCACCAGGCCUUUUAGAUCAGCCUGUGGGCCUCCUCAGCAACUGUCCAAAUGGGACACCAUCUUCUGGGAGUGCCGCUUCAAGUUGUAACUGAAGGGGAAGGUGGGUGAAGCACCACAAUGAUAAUAAGAGCCAUGCUGAAUCAGGCCAAAGGCCUAUCUAGUCCAGCAUCCUGUUCUAGAGUGGACAACCAGAAGCCCAUAAACAGGACCUGAGUGCAGCGGCCCUGUCCCAUCCUGCAAUUCCCAGCAACGGGUAUUCAGAGUCAUACUGCUUCCGACAAUUGUUCCCUUCAGGGCUUGCAAUGUUAUGCUAGCAUUCCCUUCCAGCUGCCACUCAGAGUGGUGGUUCUCACCUUUCCCAUUGGGAAAGGUUAGAGGGGAAGGGAGCCAGCUAUGUCAAGAUUCCGCAUUUCACGGCCCCUAGAGCCCCUAGAGUUACAAAUACCUCCCUUUCCCCCUCACUUUCCCCAUGUGGAAAUGCAGAAAAGAAAUUAGAAAUCUGCCAAAAUAUUCUUAAAGGAAACCAUAUAAUUGCAUUGUGCAAACAGAAGUAUUUUCCUAUACUCCUAUCAGAAAUGCCAGGCCAACAAAAAUGUCUUAGAUUUGCACUUUCCUUUAUGUGGCCAUAUUUUAUUUGUGGCUUAUAGGCAUCUUGCGAUCAACCGGGAUCGACAGUUCCCUUUCUUUUUCUGUGAUUCCCUACUGAUAAGUCCAAGCAGCUACUGAAGUGCUCAUUAUUGAUUCCCAAGUGUAUGACCUUAUAGUCACAACUAUUGAACGGAAUCCCAUUUCUGUAACUCAUGUGGUUCAUCCUGUAAUUUUUUGAUGCUUAUCUUUUCUGACAAAGCUUCCCAAUCUGUAGUCAUCAGCAAAUUUAAUCAGCAGACACGUUUUUACCACCCAAGUACAGCUGCUAACAAACACAGAAGAAAAUGGGUCUCAGAAUGACCUCUAAGGAACUCUUAAGUUUUGCUUCUCUGACUUGGUUUUUCAGCCCUUUUUGUUUUCUUAUAUGAUUGUUUUCUUAUUAGUAAUUCCAUUUUUAGACCACUUUACACCAAUGUUCUCAGAGCCGUAUACAAAGAAUACAGUAAAAUGCAACAUGAAAUAUUCAAUAAAAUUAUCCAGGCAUCACAAUGAAUAGGAACAGGACAGUCUCCAGGUGGUGCCUCUAAUGAAGGGGUUGCCAACACGGUGCCCAUGAGUUCCAUUGUGCCCUAAGCACAUCCCCUCAAAAAUCUACAAUGUGUAAGGUAAUGAUUGUUCUCCCUGCUCAGUUCCAUGGAAGUGAAUGAGAAAGUAUGGACACACUGAAACUUCAUUAGCAUAUGGCUGUCUCUGUGCUCACAAGGGAUUGUUUGAAGAAAUCAGUCUAAAGCAGACUUUCCUUCCAUAAUUUAACAGUAGCAAGCAGUAGCAACCACAUCACGAAUUUUAAGAGGGUCCUUGAAACAAAACAAAAUUUAAAAAAAAACAGUUAAAAGCAUAAUGGUGAAAAGUUUUGACCAUUUUGCAUGUAUGUUUUGCUGUGGUUACUGUCUCAGGAAAUGUUCACAUAUGUGUUUGUGUCCACAAGCCAGAAAUUCUCUUGGUGCCAUGGUAACAAUCUCUUCUCCUUACUGUAUAUAAGCAUGAAAGUCUUGGUAACACUCCCUCCCCCCAUCUUGUGAAAUAAUUUUAUCUCUUUCAUAGCUACCCAUCUUUAGGUGGUCCCCCACACCUCCCUCCCCGUUUCUUGACAUCUCUGUUUUCUUUAUGUGUCACAUAGGCCCACAUAGCUGGUAAGUGUUAGUGUUGGUGGAGUGGGAGAAGAAACAAACGCAUGAAGACUCUGUGGAAUGUAGGAUUUGUUUGUACAGAAGGCUCACAGGCAAAAUAACUUAAUGCUUCUUCAGAUAAUCACUGUCAGUAUUUGAAAAGGCAUUUGCACAAAGCUUCAACGGGGGAUAAAAAAUCUGAUUAGAAUGUAGAUUAAAACCUAGAUAGGUGCUAUCUGAUACCAACGUUAUAUUGCUCAUCGGGUGUAAAUUAUGGUUUGGGCGUAUUAAUUUCUCCAUCGAUAGAAAACUGCUAAAGGGCAAUUCUGAAACGGAGAAAAUAAGGAAUUACCAGUUGCCAAUACUGAAGCUCUAUUUAGAUGGGUCCCCUACUUCCCUCCAUUAUCAAUUUUCCCACACUGGUUAGGUCUGAAGUGGGAUUGUAAACUCAUUUUGCUGAAUCUCUGCAAUCUGGGCCCCUGAUCAUGCAAUGUUCCUGAUAAUAGGAAGGACUUUACAUGCAUGCAGCUGAACAUGUUUACAACCCCCCUUCAAAUCAGUGUGCUCAAUGUGAGGAUGUCAAGGGUGGAGGCAGCAGAGCCAAUGCUCACCUCCCCCAUCCACCACCCUUCCAAAAAUAGAAUUAGGAAUGAAUAGGUAUUGUGCACUCCCAACAGAUGCAACUGGAAAUGCCCUGGGUACAACCAGCCUGCUUAGUGAUUUUACCACUGAAGUGAAUAUUUUCACUUCUUUUAUGAUUGAUCAGGUCACACACAUUUCCAUUUGUUCAAAGUCAAACAGUAGGUUGCACACAUGAAAAAUCUGGUGGUAUUUAAUUUGUUUCCAUGCUUCUGCUUCCCUUUAUUUAAAGGUUCCAGACUACAUUGACAGGGUAGUCUCAGAAAUUUAGUGGAGAUAUAAUAAUUUAUCAUGCAGAGUCUGAAGGGCUCAGAGAACUAGACCUUUUGAAUGAGCCUUUUAAUGUUUCCAUGGCUGCACCUCACUUCUGCUUCUGAACCUAUCCAUCAUUUUUAUUUUAGACUAUAAAGUUUGAAGGCAAAGACUUUUGUUAAUUAGCACUCAUCAUCUCUUUACAGAAGACACUUGAGUAGUGAUGGGAGAAAUCUGCCCAUUUCAGUUUGGAAUGGGCUGGUUCUUUCCAAACUUUUUUGGAGAAUUCAUGGACAGAACUCAGCUUCUUCCCCCCACUCCUAAAUAUUUCAAUGCUUGGAAAGACCAGCUUCAAGAGCUCCUUCACUGGCAUUCAUCCUUUUGUCUGCCAGUUAUUUUCUCUGUUAAAUUUCCACACUAUAAACACUAUAAAUUUCCCGCAAUAAACACUUGUCUAGUCUCACAAUUCCCUGUGAAGAAGGAUUGAUUGCUAAAUCAUUUUGGGGGGGAAUGGGGUCUCCUAAAAACUCUCAGCAAACUCAAGAAGCUAUAGCUCUCAUAAUUAUUUGAGGGAAGCCACGACUGUUUGAAGUGACACCAGAGAACUUUAAAUGUGUGGUGUGAAUGCGGUCAUAGUGUGGAAUUUCUGGAUGUAAUGGCAGGCAGGGUGAGAGGUAAGUAAAACGUUUUGUUACUUUAAUAAGGACAUGCUUGCUAUAUUGAUGGAUAUACUCAAUUUGUAUCCCACUUUACCACCAAAUGGUGCUCAACUAUGAGAAUGAAAUUAUUUAAGAUCUUCAUUUUUGAGGACAAUGGGUUGUCACAAACAUUAAGUUAAAGAAACAAGAGCAAAUGAGUGUAUGUUAAUCCGUCUCACUCAAGGAGCUGGUCUGCAAGGCAAACUAGAGGAGUCAUAUAUUCUCAAGGGACCCUUCAGCAGCAAAAGGAGUGCUAGAUAAAGGAUAAUAUUUCUUCAAAUCCUUCACAUUCCUGCCAGCUCUUUUGAAGGCACAUAAUGCAGAGAUUAGCCUACAUAUAGAGACAAUGCCAGUGGGAGCUAGUACAAGAAAGAACUUGGGUACUGAAAACUAAGUCUGAAUAAUGAAGGCCACAUUGCUUUAUUUUGCUGUGGAGUCCAGUGUGGUGCCUCUUUUGAUGAAUUAAUCUGUUUCAGAAGGACACUUUCUUGGCAUGUCUUCAGCACAGUUUUCCUUUUUUAGUGAACACUUGAGCUAUACAGCGUGCCUAAACUCAGAAAUAGGGCAUCAUUGCAGACCCUCUGUGUGGGAGGAAGAUAGGUCAGAGAGACUGGUCAGAAAAUAGCGGUGAAGUUAAGAAAUCGGUGAAAUAUUGCUGAUUUGUAUAAAAUAAAUCUGUUCCAUAUUCUGUUCCAUAAGCGUUGGGUGCUUAGUGUAAAGUCCAGUCCCUCAUUAAAGCAGAACACUGUUAGAUUAAAAUGUUUUUGUUCUGUUGUGGGGGGUUGCACAUAGACAAAGUCCAGCAUUGCACUUUGGGAGACCUACAAAUCAAUCAAAUAUCGGAGAGUGGGAAGAAUGACUGUCGUUUAGAAAAAAGAAAAUUAAUCACAGGUCCCUGUUUUUAAGCACAGUCUUCCAUUGAUAAGAUAGCAGGGUGAAAUCCAAUUGUGUCAGCCCCCACCAGAAUAUGCACUGUUUGCAGAAUGGACUCAUCUCUCCCUGCAACCCCCUACAUGCCCUCAAAAUCUGCUUUAGGGGUUUGCCAGGGUGAGGACUGUGGAGGCAGAAGGGGAAGUCCUGCUUGCAUGAAGGCGUUAUCUUAUUUUUCCUCAUAAUGAUCAUGGGAGAUUGAUGAGGUUGAUAGCAACUCACUGGUGCUAGUGUAUUAUUAUUAAUUAUUCUUAUUCUUAUUUAUGAUUCACUUUUCACCAGGCAUUCUAUAACCAGAAUGCUUCAUGGCUGAGCAAAGACUUGAGCAGAGAUUUCCUCAGCGUCCAACUUUCUGCCCACCACAUCCCAUUUGCUGUGUGGACAAUUGCCGUGUACGAAUGGAGAGCAAAACGUGCACCAACCGCAAGACAGAAGUUGCCUGCUGUAUUCAACUUCUUCUGGUAAAGCUCUGCAAUAUAUAAAUCUAUUGAAAGCUAUGGAAGAGUAGAGAUUUGCCACCACGCUGUGAAGAUUUUGUGCGAUAAUCCCACCUGCCGAUCUCUGGCAACACUUAGCAUGGCCCACCUGUGUGGACACCAAAGAUAAACAUUUUUGGAAACAUUUAUAAAAUGCAGAUGUCUUGAGGCACGAGGGAGCUGGAUAUUGGUAAAUCUGACUCCCUGUCUUACUCAUGCAUUUAAAUUAACCUUUAUUAGGCUACUGCAUGGAACUUGAGCAUAUUUGCUGCCUAAACACCUGGCUGACUUGUGAGCAACCAUCAGACCUAAAAAAGCAAACCUGCAGUUUAAGUGACAGGAGCAGGCACAAAAUAAGUAGAAGCUUUCUUGAAAACUAAACUGAGCAUUUGGCUUUUGGCUGGCAUGGAGCACUUCAUGGAUAUAAGGCCAUGGACAAUUCUCAUUAUCCUAUAGACCUGAUCAUAAAGUAGCUUAGGGCCAGUUCACACAAAGCUUUAUCUUCUGCAUGCCAUCAGUCAUGGCUAUGUCCCCAAAUGGACCCUGGAGGCUUUGGGGAUGUUGGGCUAGAUGGCCAUUGGCCUGAUCCAACAGGCUGUUCCUAUGUUCUUAUGACCUGAGUGCAAUGGUAUGGCUGCUACAUGCUUCCCUCUUCUUUAAAGGAAAAGAAUCAUCUGAAGUGGGCAACCAUUAUCUGAAUGGUAGAGUAGACCUUUCCUUCCACAACUGACCAGUGAUUUUCAUUAUCAUAUAGGAAAAUCACUGCCACAACAAUAGACAUCAAUGCUGGCUCUGAAAUAGCUGAGCACAAUUCACAUAUCUAUUUUUCCAAGGAUUCAUGGGUGCAUGAAUCGUAGAAGCGGGGCCAGAUGGGUCACAUGGAGAAUGAAGAAGAGAACAUAAUGUGUGCAAUCUGCCCAACUUAAAAUGACAAAAUCUCACACACAAGACUUGGAGUGGAAUGAAACACAUCCCUUGUUUUGUUCAUCAGGUAACUUCUAGAAAGGGCUAUCCUUACCAAAAGUGAUGACUUUUGCACAACCUGCAGUACGGUUGUGAUUCGGGUUGUUGGAGAACACCUGCAAAUUCACAUUUAUGGAUUCUUACUAUUUAUUACAUUUGUUAGUUGCUUUUUACAACAAAACCCAACAAGAUAAAAUACAAGUGAUAAAAACACUUAAAGCUAGAUCCUUUAGAACAAUGUGUAAUAAAAAAAUGGCCAGCCAUGUUUUCUGCAAAGCUAAAAAUACUCUAUUAUGCCUUACAGGAAAAGUUUGAUAGAAUUUAUUAUGUUUGCUCUCUAGUACCAUUCUCAAUGCAGAACAUUCAAAAAUGCAUUUCCUGGUUUGUUCUUGACCUCAUGAGUGAGUCAAAUGCAUUGAAAUUUAGCAAACACUGCAGGCUCAAUCAUAGAAAUGGCAGUGGAUCCAUUGAAAAUAGUCUGAGCCCGAUGCUCCUUUGAACUUAGCAUUAUUUCAGUAAAAUAACUCAAUCUGCAUUAUCCAGUGUAUCCAAGGUACCUCUUUGGCCUGAAAGCACGUGCAUGAUGAUUUAUAGGAAGGUUCAAUAAAAGCUAUUACAUUAUCAACAUUGUGCAUGCUUUUUCUCCUGGGAAAAGCAUAAUGACAUUUAUUGCCAUGAGACAUUUAAAGUGCUUCAGUGUAUGAUCUAUUGUGCUCAGAUGCAACAUUUUUAUUACUUAAAUGCAGAAAACCUUGUAAUAAUAGUUGAGAACUUAACUAUUUCUUUGACAUUGUAUUUUACCAAAUACUCCUGCCAGUUCAGUAGCUGUUAUACAACAUGUAACACAAGAAUAGGUUAGUUAUGAAAUAAUUUGAAGCAGCAGCGAUGGCAGCAAUAUGGAGCGGAGGCAAGAAAAUGACACAGAUAAGUGUGACUAAACUUCAAGGAGGGGGGAGAAUUCAAUGGAGCAGCAUUUUCAGUGUUAGCAUCAGAUUCCAUGGCAGUGUUCUGUUUGAUAACACUUCCUUCUAGAGAUGGCGGGGGAAUUCAGCUUGCAUUUUAAUGUGAACUUACAUAAUUCACACUUCCCAAAACAUUACGUGGGCUAAACGCAGCUAUCCUUCAAAAUUCCCACUUCUCCAAAUAUCAUGACUCAGUUCUCCAUCCAAAAUAUGUGUAUGAAAAUGUGUUGGUUAGGGGAAAGUGUGAAUAAAAAGACAAACUGAACUGAAUAUUGGUGAAAAUAACAUUUAAAAAAGCAUUGCAAUGGGAGAAAUUACUUGCCAACCAGUAUAUUGGGCAAAACCUAUUUAUUAAAAGAAAUGUGCACUAAAAUGCUGAUGAAUUUUUCGGAGGAAAGUUUGCAAACUGAACUGUAUUUAAGAUUGGAAAAGUGAGAAACUGAGAAAUCCAUCUCCAUUUAUGACACUGAAAUCUGUCCCUGGAAAAAAAGUGAACCAGGAGUUGGGAAUCUCCUGCCUGGGAGUCAGUUUGUGAUCCAAGUUGGCCCAUGAGGCCAUUUCCCUCUAUCAUGCCCACCUGUUACUGGGC